UUGAACGCUGGCGGCAGGCCUAACACAUGCAAGUCGAACGGUAACAGGAAGAAGCUUGCUUCUUUGCUGACGAGUGGCGGACGGGUGAGUAAUGUCUGGGAAACUGCCUGAUGGAGGGGGAUAACUACUGGAAACGGUAGCUAAUACCGCAUAACGUCGCAAGACCAAAGAGGGGGACCUUCGGGCCUCUUGCCAUCGGAUGUGCCCAGAUGGGAUUAGCUAGUAGGUGGGGUAACGGCUCACCUAGGCGACGAUCCCUAGCUGGUCUGAGAGGAUGACCAGCCACACUGGAACUGAGACACGGUCCAGACUCCUACGGGAGGCAGCAGUGGGGAAUAUUGCACAAUGGGCGCAAGCCUGAUGCAGCCAUGCCGCGUGUAUGAAGAAGGCCUUCGGGUUGUAAAGUACUUUCAGCGGGGAGGAAGGGAGUAAAGUUAAUACCUUUACCCAUUGACGUUACCCGCAGAAGAAGCACCGGCUAACUCCGUG
rnacentral:rRNA from 1 species